UACGGAGGGUGCAGGCGUUAUCCGGAUUCACUGGGUUUAAAGGGUGCGUAGGUGGGCAGGUAAGUCAGUGGUGAAAUCUCCGGGCUUGACCCGGAAACUGCCAUUGAUACUAUCUGUCUUGAAUACCGUGGAGGUGAGCGGAAUAUGUCAUGUAGCGGUGAAAUGCUUAGAUAUGACAUAGAACACCAAUUGCGAAGGCAGCUCACUACACGAAUAUUGACACUGAGGCACGAAAGCGUGGGGAUCAAACAGG
rnacentral:rRNA from 1 species